rnacentral:rRNA from 1 species
CAGUAGCCACGGUAAUACGGAGGGCGCGAGCGUUACCCGGAUUUACUGGGCGUAAAGGGCGUGUAGGCGGCCUGGGGCGUCCCAUGUGAAAGGCCACGGCUCAACCGUGGAGGAGCGUGGGAUACGCUCAGGCUAGAGGGUGGGAGAGGGUGGUGGAAUUCCCGGAGUAGCGGUGAAAUGCGCAGAUACCGGGAGGAACGCCGAUGGCGAAGGCAGCCACCUGGUCCACUUCUGACGCUGAGGCGCGAAAGCGUGGGGAGCAAACCGGAUUAGAUACCCCCGUAGUCCCUGUCUCUUAUAU